rnacentral:rRNA from 1 species
AACGCUAGCUACAGGCUUAACACAUGCAAGUCGAGGGGCAGCAUGAACUUAGCUUGCUAAGUUUGAUGGCGACCGGCGCACGGGUGAGUAACGCGUAUCCAACCUACCUAUCAGAGGGGAAUAACCCGGCGAAAGUCGGACUAAUACCGCAUAAAACAGGGGCACCGCAUGGUGAUAUUUGUUAAAGAAAUUCGCUGAUAGAUGGGCAUGCGUUCCAUUAGGUAGUUGGUGAGGUAACGGCUCACCAAGCCGACGAUGGAUAGGGGUUCUGAGAGGAAGGUCCCCCACAUUGGAACUGAGACACGGUCCAAACUCCUACGGGAGGCAGCAGUGAGGAAUAUUGGUCAAUGGACGAGAGUCUGAACCAGCCAAGUAGCGUGAAGGAUGACUGCCCUAUGGGUUGUAAACUUCUUUUAUAAGGGAAUAAAGUGAGGGACGUGUCCCUUUUUGUAUGUACCUUAUGAAUAAGGAUCGGCUAACUCCGUGCCAGCAGCCGCGGUAAUACGGAGGAUCCAAGCGUUAUCCGGAUUUAUUGGGUUUAAAGGGAGCGUAGGUUGACAUAUAAGUCAGCUGUGAAAGUUUACGGCUCAACCGUGAAAUUGCAGUUGAUACUGUAUGUCUUGAGUGUACAAGAGGUGGGCGGAAUUCGUGGUGUAGCGGUGAAAUGCUUAGAUAUCACGAAGAACUCCGAUUG